GACGAACGCUGGCGGCGUGCCUAAUACAUGCAAGUUGAGCGCUGAAGGUUGGUACUUGUACCAACUGGAUGAGCAGCGAACGGGCGAGUAACGCGUGGGGAAUCUGCCUUUGAGCGGGGGACAACAUUUGGAAACGAAUGCUAAUACCGCAUAAAAACUUUAAACACAAGUUUUAAGUUUGAAAGAUGCAAUUGCAUCACUCAAAGAUGAUCCCGCGCUGUAUUAGCUAGUUGGUGAGGUAAAGGCUCACCAAGGCGAUGAUACAUAGCCGACCUGAGAGGGUGAUCGGCCACAUUGGGACUGAGACACGGCCCAAACUCCUACGGGAGGCAGCAGUAGGGAAUCUUCGGCAAUGGACGGAAGUCUGACCGAGCAACGCCGCGUGAGUGAAGAAGGUUUUCGGAUCGUAAAACUCUGUUGGUAGAGAAGAACGUUGGUGAGAGUGGAAAGCUCAUCAAGUGACGGUAACUACCCAGAAAGGGACGGCUAACUACGUG
rnacentral:rRNA from 1 species